UACGUAGGGGCCAAGCGUUGUUCGGAUUUACUGGGCGUAAAGGGCGCGUAGGCGGCCACUGCAAGUCAGCUGUGAAAUCUCCGGGCUUAACUCGGAAAGGUCAACUGAUACUGUGCGACUAGAGUGCAGAAGGGGCAACUGGAAUUCUCGGUGUAGCGGUGAAAUGCGUAGAUAUCGAGAGGAACACCUGCGGCGAAGGCGGGUUGCUGGGCUGACACUGACGCUGAUGCGCGAAAGCCAGGGGAGCGAACGGG
rnacentral:rRNA from 1 species